rnacentral:rRNA from 1 species
UAGAGUUUGAUCAUGGCUCAGAUUGAACACUGGCGGCAGGCCUAACACAUGCAAGUCGAGUGGUAACAGAUUGAUAGCUUGCUAUCAAUGCUGACGAGCGGCGGACGGGUGAGUAAUGCCUGGGAAUAUGCCCUGAUGUGGGGGAUAACUAUUGGAAACGAUAGCUAAUACCGCAUGAUGCCUACGGGCCAAGGAGGGGGACCUUCGGGCCUCUCGCGUCAAGAUAUGCCUAGGUGGGAUUAGCUAGUUGGUGAGGUAAUGGCUCACCAAGGCGACGAUCCCUAGCUGGUCUGAGAGGAUGAUCAGCCACACUGGAACUGAGACACGGUCCAGACUCCUACGGGAGGCAGCAGUGGGAAUAUUGCACAAUGGGCGCAAGCCUGAUGCAGCCAUGCCGCGUGUAUGAAGAAGGCCUUCGGGUUGUAAAGUACUUUCAGUUGUGAGGAAGGGGGUAGUGUUAAUAGCGCUAUCUCUUGACGUUAGCAACAGAAGAAGCACCGGCUAACUCCGUGCCAGCAGCCGCGGUAAUACGGAGGGUGCGAGCGUUAAUCGGAAUUACUGGGCGUAAAGCGCAUGCAGGUGGUUCAUUAAGUCAGAUGUGAAAGCCCGGGGCUCAACCUCGGAACUGCAUUUGAAACUGGUGAACUAGAGUACUGUAGAGGGGGGUAGAAUUUCA